GGUUGCAGGUGUGUUUGAGUGGUUGUAGGUUGUCCCUGGGAGCUGAUUGGUUCCUGCCUGGAAGACAAGGGUUUAAAGGCUGGCUCCUCUCCAGUUCCUGUGGGCUCUCCUCUGCUGUUCCAGACUGCCAGCAUUGUGUGAUUGAGAGAAAUAUGUUUGUUAAUAAAACUAUUGAAGACAUGCUAUUGCUGCUGGAGCUUGGAGGAUGGGAAGGGAGUCUCACACUCAUGUUGCGCCAGGGUUUCCCCUUGGCCCUGGUUGUAACAUACAGUAAAUUGUUUCAAAUCUAUCAGAGCAAUUUUUUUUUUUUAAUUGAGGCCUUGAGAGAGAUAUUCAUGAGCGCAGUGUUUCACUUUGAAAGAGAUUUGUGGCGUUUUGAGAAAACUUACCAGUUUUGUGAAACGUAGCCAUAGUUUAAUGGAACGUGCCGGAACGAUGUGAGCCACUCUGUCCACUAGGUGUCGCUGCUUACCAUCGACUCGACCCACGGCAGGCGGAGGAAGGUACACCUUCACCUUUUGGGAACAUGUUGGCGCAGUAAACAGAUCCAGGACCUGGGAGACACAGACUCGAAAUCACGAACAGCAGAUCAGCCUCGUUGUUGUUUAUGCGCGUCCUCCAGACUGCAAUCAUCAAAUGAACCCCAGCUGCAGAGACGACAUCUGCGAGAAACCAUACAGGUGUUUACUGCACAGCGAGACUUAUUAGGUUCCAGUCUUUCCACAUUUUCGGAACUCCACAUGAAAGUGCAGGCCCGAUAACACACCCUGGGCCUUGUAAAAUCUUGGCAGCGUGCCGUGUGUUUCCUUGAGGUCUGGAGGUAAACACCUCAUUAGAGGAUGAUUUCUCCUGGAAUGGGUGGUCUCUCGCCCCUCUCACACCCCAUCCAACAUCUGGCUUUCGUUUUUAAUGUAAAUGGCAUUCGUACAGAUGACCCGGGGCUGGCUGCAGGUAUUUAUCGGCUCCAGCUCCGACCGGCUGUGAAAGGAACACAACACCUGGGUGGAUGGGAUCAUUUUCACCCCCAUGUCAGACACAAUGCCGUGACGUGUGUUGGACUUAAGGAUGCUGACUUGUUAGUACGUUUCAAUUCAUUUCUGUUCAAGCAGCGUUCAAACGUUGUUCAGUCAGCGCUCAGUUUGAAAGUGAAAGAUAUCCCAAAAGGUACCAACUUUAGUGGCUUCCCUGCUUGUCUGCUGCUCUUAACAGUGAUGAGAGAGAAGCAAGGUGUCUCACUCUUCACCAGCUUCCAUUAUCGGCCUAGGAAACUAUGUAUCUCAAGUAGAAUGUUAUUGAUUAAAACACAUU